AACCUAGCACACCUGCGGUGUGUACCUGCGGAAGGAUCAUUACCGAGUUUACAACUCCCAAACCCCUGUGAACAUACCUAUAAUUUGCCUCGGCGGACUCAACGACGGUGCUCCGAGAAAUCGGGCGCCGCUCGCUGCCAGAGGAACCCCAAACUCUAUGUAUUCUUGUGGAUCUUCUGAGUAAAACAAAACAAAUAAAUCAAAACUUUUAACAAUGGAUCUCAGAUCGGAAGAGCACAC
rnacentral:misc_RNA from 1 species